CCCAGUAAACGGCGGCCGUAACUAUAACGGUCCUAAGGUAGCGAAAUUCCUUGUCGGGCAAGUUCCGACCUGCACGAAUGGCAUAACGAUGGCCACACUGUCUCCUCCUGAGACUCAGUGAAGUUGAAGUGUUUGUGAUGAUGCAAUCUCCCCGCGGCUAGACGGAAAGACCCCAUGAACCUUUACUGUAGCUUUGCAUUGGACUUUGAACCGAUCUGUGUAGGAUAGGCGGGAGCCUGUGAAACCACAACGCCAGUUGUGGCGGAGGCGUCCUUGAAAUACCGCCCUGAUUUGUUUGAGGUUCUAACCUGGGACAGUCAUCCUGUCCGGGGACCGUGCAUGGUAGGCAGUUUGACUGGGGCGGUCUCCUCCUAAAGGGUAACGGAGGAGUGCGAAGGUACGCUAGGUACGGUCGGAAAUCGUGCUGAUAGUGCAAUGGCAAAAGCGUGCUUGACUGCGAGACCCACAAGUCGAGCAGAUACGAAAGUAGGUCAUAGUGAUCCGGUGGCUCUGUAUGGAAGGGCCAUCGCUCAACGGAUAAAAGGUACUCUGGGGAUAACAGGCUGAUACCGCCCAAGAGUUCAUAUCGACGGCGGUGUUUGGCACCUCGAUGUCGGCUCAUCUCAUCCUGGGGCUGUAGCCGGUCCCAAGGGUAUGGCUGUUCGCCAUUUAAAGAGGUACGUGAGCUGGGUUUAAAACGUCGUGAGACAGUUUUGUCCCUAUCUGCCGUGGGCGCUGGAAGAUUGACGGGGGCUGCUCCUAGUACGAGAGGACCGGAGUGGACUCACCUCUGGUGUACCGGUUGUCACGCCAGUGGCAUCGCCGGGUAGCUAUGUGGGGAAGAGAUAACCGCUGAAAGCAUCUAAGCGGGAAACUUGCCUGAAGAUAAGUCUUCCUGGAGGCUAGACCUCCCUAAAGAGUCGUUCGAGACCAGGACGUUGAUAGGAUGGGUGUGUAAGUGCUGUGAGGCACUCAGCUAACCAUUACUAAUUGCUCGUGAAGCUUGAUCCU
rnacentral:rRNA from 1 species